CCUACGGGAGGCAGCAGUGAGGAAUAUUGGUCAAUGGGAGAGAUCCUGAACCAGCCAAGCCGCGUGAGGGAAGACGGCCCUAUGGGUUGUAAACCUCUUUUGUCGGAGAACAAAACCCGGGACGUGUCCCGGACUGCGUGCAUCCGAAGAAAAAGCAUCGGCUAACUCCGUGCCAGCAGCCGCGGUAAUACGGAGGAUGCGAGCGUUAUCCGGAUUUACUGGGUGGAAAGGGAGCGCAGACGGCAGGGCAAGUCUGAUGUGAAAGUCCGGGGCUCAACCCUGGGACUGCAUUGGAAACUGUCCGG
rnacentral:rRNA from 1 species